rnacentral:sRNA from 1 species
UCCAAUCCCAAUGGACACUGAGGUAUCU